CGAGAAAAUUUACAUGGUGUCUAUCACCUAACUGAUCAGAAACGAACAGGGAAGUUAUACAUUAAUUGCGAUAUUGAAGAGAACAACGAAACCGUAUGGGCUAUAGUAGCGGUACAGUAAGUGAAUGUAACGAAAGUUGGGCUCGUUAAAGAAACCAAAAGUCGAGCCGGAGAUCACUAGCGGAGCAAAGUACAAGUCAAAAGUAACACUGUACUCGAACCAGGCACCGGCAAAGACUGAGGUAACGUAGUUAGCAAUUGCAACGGGAGCGUCCUAACUGGUGAACGUCGCAAACGGUAUUGCAGUGAGAAACUCUGGCGAUGAUCUCCGACGCUGUUGAAAACGACCGCGACGACGACG